GCCAGUGUGGCGGAAUUGGCAGGCGCGCGGUUCAGGGCCGUGUUCUCUUUGGGGAGUGCGGGUUCGACCCCGACCACUGGUA
rnacentral:tRNA from 1 species